AAUGAACGCUGGCGGCGGGCCUAAUACAUGCAAGUCGAGCGGACACACAGUAAGCUUUUGCCUCUACGGGUGGCGAGUGGCGGACGGGUGACGCGUACAUAGCCUUCUACUUUUUCGUGGGGGAUUUCGUAAGGCAGCUUCUGCUACUACAGAAUAUAAUGUACCGCAUGAAGCAGUAGUUCUUCGCACCUUUCGCGUCUGAUUUAGCCGGUUCCGCGCCGCAUUAGCUAGUUGGUAAGGUAACGGCAUACCAAGGCGACGAUGCGUAGCCGACCUGAGAGGAUGAUCAGCCACACUGGAACUGAGACACGGUCCAGACUCCUACGGGAGGCAGCAGUAGGGAAUAUUGGGCAAUGGGCGAAAGCCUGAUGGAGCCAUACCGCGUGAGUGAUGAAGGCCUUCGGAUCGUAAAGCCCUGUUGUUGGGAAAGAAAAGCAGCAGAUUUAUCCCCCGCUGUUCUGACGGUACCCAAAGAGUAAGCACCGGCUAACUUCGUG
rnacentral:rRNA from 1 species